rnacentral:rRNA from 1 species
UACGGGGGGAGCAAGCGUUGUUCGGAUUUACUGGGCGUAAAGGGCGCGUAGGCGGUCAGCACAAGUCAGUUGUGAAAUCUCCGGGCUUAACUCGGAAAGGUCAACUGAUACUGUGCGACUAGAGUGCAGAAGGGGCAACUGGAAUUCUCGGUGUAGCGGUGAAAUGCGUAGAGAUCGGCAGGAACACCCAGGGGGAAACCAGCUGCCUGGGCAAGCGCUGACGCUGAGGUGCGAGAGCGUGGGGAGCGAACCGG